ensembl:lncRNA uncharacterized LOC114870526
AUGGCGCACGCUAACGAUGCUAACGGGCAGAGGCCCUGCGCGCGCCCGUGGCGGCGGCGGUGGUGGUGGAGGAGCGCUCGGCGCCUUUCGCGCCGGCUCUUUCGCUGCCGGUGUUUGUGCCGCGAGGCGAAGGAGCCUCUGCGGGGGCAGGAAAAGCGGAUUAACGGGGGCCCGCGGCAGCUCGGCGCGGAUAGAUGGGGAUCAGGUGAGAAGGAGGCCGUCCAGAUUACUGUGGAGGAUCUGGGGAUAGUUAACUGCAGCUUCGUCCUGUCUGAAGAGGACCCCCUGACCCGGAGGACCAGCGCGGCCCGCUCAGCCGGCUCGGGGUCCGCCUGCCACACAGCUGAGAAAAAGAAACACAGACCUCUGGGUUCACUCCCUUUACAGCUCCAGGCUGAACCUGCCACGACUUCUACCAGUGGAGAAGAUGGUGAAGAUGAGGAGGAGGAGGCUGAAAGUCUGCUGACACCACCUGUCAUUAAUCUCAUCCCUCCCACCCCCUCCGACGUCGUUAACGACCGCUUUUUUAAUAACUCAGAGGAGAGUGUGGCGCGUAGAUCUGGCAGCGAUGGAAGCCCUGCUCCCACUGAGCGGAAGAGCGAUGGGGAAAAGACGGAGAGUGAGGAGGCAGAGGACUCAACGGAGGGACGCAGAGAGGCCGGGAACGAUGCUGGAGCGGACGGUGGUGCUGAGGCGGGAGGGGGCCCGGGGCACGAGGGUGAGGAGGACAGAGGGGAUGUGCCACGUAGCUCCUACCAGGUGGCUCCUCUGCCCGAAUACCCGCAGAGAAAGAGCUUCAACACUGGAAUAAACCUUUUAUCAUUCACUGAGCUCAACUUGGACGACCUGAGCGGCGGCGACCGGCCGUGCGCCGACAUGGUGGCGACUGACGUGCGCGGCCUCCAUCCCGCUGCCAGCGCGCGGGCCUCUGCUCACCGAAGGACACCCGUAACUCACUCCAGCCUCCUUGGGGAAACAUUGACCAGGAGCGCCACAUUCCACGGAUUAACCCAGGCCACGGCGCAGCGCCAGGAGGAGGGGUCGCCGCGGCAACGACGCAUAACCGUGGCGUCGUACAUGCCUCAGCCCCGGGACCAGAAUGGAAACUUCCCUGAGAAGGACGCAGACGAGCGCGCGACCAAACCUCUCAGGGAGCUGAGCACCGACGGACUCUGCCGGUGGUUUACCAGCAUUGGACUGGAGAGAUGCCUCCCUUUCAUCAGGGAAGCCAAACUGUGCGGCGCAGACAUAGCAUCAGUCGACGCCAACACUCUGGACAUCCUCCACGUCACCACGCUGGAAGACAGAGAGCAGUUACUGUCGGCCAUUUAUGCCGAGCUGCACCCUCCCAGCACCACCAGCCAGAGACUGGACUCUCUGCUGGAAACAUUAGGCCCCAAUCAUGUGGAGACUUUCGCCGCCACGCUGGUGUCCAUGAGCAAGUCCAGGUCAUCGCCUCACGUGAGCUGCCUGAGUCUGAACCGACGUUCCCUCAAAGUCAGGAACAACAGCCAGAGCUGCAACACACAGCUGAUAGAGGUCACUGUCACGGCGUCAGAGAGAAUAGUUCAUCUCCGGACCCCAAAGGAAACGACCGUGGGAAAGAUCAUGGACUCGUGUAUCAAAAUGCUGGGAGCGACAGAGGACAAGUGUCUGUUCACGCUGAGAGAAAAGCACAGCUCAUUGGAGGAACUGAUGCCGGACCAGCAGGUUGGGGGUCUACUGACGUCGGCAUCAGACAACGCACAAGUGGAGCUGCUCCUGUGUAAACUGGAGAAACCAGCGAGUCCUGACUCUUCAAAGAGUCCAGACGUCGACAGCGCCAAUGAAAAUGGCAGCAGCGACACAACCCUUCAGUCAGAUAAAGAAAAGAGGAUCAGAGAGUUGAAACAACAGGUGGACUCGCUCCAAAACGUCAUCCUUCAGGUCCAGGAGCUCCACCUCAGCCUGGUAGCGUUUUGCUCAGAGCUGAAAAGCAUGGACGGAGACGUGAACGCGGACGAGCUCGGCGCUGACGAGCUGCAGCGGAGGCUGGAGUUGGUCCAAAGCCGAGUGAGCGACAAGAAGCAGAGCCUGCGAACCCUCCGAGACCACAUCAGCAGAUCGGCUGCUCACAAGACCAACCAGCUGGAAGUUCAUCUCCUGGAAAAGAUGAAGUUGAACUGCCAGGUGUUCAAGGAGGAAAUCUCCCUGGUGCAUCUCAACCGACAGGUGGCUCAGCUCCAGAGCGCUCUGGACGAAAGCACAGCGAAGGAGAAGAGCCCGGCCGUCUGCAGCCUCGGCCAGCUGGUGUCGCCCCGGCGUCCGGCCAUGCUGCUGGUGGUGCAGGAGAAGCGGCGGCCCGGCGGCCAUUAUGGCUUCACGUGCCGCUACAGAGAAGGCGGGGGGCUGGUGGUGGUGGAGGUGGACGACUCCCACCUCUGCGUUGACGACAGACUGGUGGAGGUGAAUGGGACACUGGUGGUCAACUGGACGCAGGAAGAGCUGACUCAGCAUCUGCUGCAGGGACCCAGUGCUCAAGUCGUGGUCCUGCGCCAGCCCCCGCCCACAGGCUUAUCCCAGCAGCAGCCUCCGCUCCCGCAGCACAUGGUCCACCCUGGUCCCGCGAAGACAGCCUGCCAAGAACAGGAUCAAGUCGCCAUGGCAACCCCUCCACGGCGGAGGUUGAUGGCCAUCUGACUAUACAGUACGAAGAGCACACAUACUGUAGAUUUGAUGAGGAUGGAGGAAAUAGUUAGUUCUUUUAACAUGUCUCCCCGCGUGAAGUGAAUGUUGUUUUUAUUUAUUUAUUUAUUUAAUGUUUUCUGUAACAAUAAACCUUUUUAGUAGAUUUUUAAUUUUCGUUUU